rnacentral:rRNA from 1 species
UACAGAGGUCUCGAGCGUUAGGCGGAAUCACUGGGCUUAAAGCGUGUGUAGGCGGAUCGGUAAGUACCUUGUGAAAUCCCACAGCUUAACUGUGGAACUGCUUGGUAUACUGCCAGUCUUGAGCCAGCUAGGGGCUACCGGAACAAAUGGUGGAGCGGUGAAAUGCGUAGAUAUCAUUUGGAACGCCAAUGGUGAAAACAGGUAGCUGGGGCUGUGCUGACGCUGAGACACGAAGCCAGGGGAGCAAACGGG